GAAACAGGCUCCAGGCUCCGAGCCAUCAGCCCAGAGCCCGACGCGGGGCUCGAACUCACGGACCGCGAGAUCGUGACCUGGCUGAAGUCGGACGCUUAACCGACUGUGCCACCCAGGCGCCCCCUAAGAUCCUUUUACAAGAGGGUCACCUCCCUGAGCCGCACAGGCAAGUAAUGUGAUUUCUGGCAGUGUUGUCUGGCCCUCUUCUGUCUCCACUGGCAGCCACACAUCUUCCACCAACAUCUAAGAGGAAGGAAUCAUUCCCGGGGAGAAACCAAAUCCUAGAGCCAAUACCUGCAAACAUAAUCGGCUCUAAGCCCGUUCUGUGAAAGUGGAUUCACUAUUUGAAGAAUUGAUAGAUUUAUGUAUUCAGAAAAAAACUUGCUUCUAGUAACUCUUGGAAAGUUUCCUGAAGUUACUAUUUAGAGGACAAUUUCAGCAGCAUCGGAGGAUUUCACAGCAGCCACUCUGGAAAACAGUCACCCAGCUCCACGUCCCCUUCAAGUCUGCUUUAUGUUUUAUACUCCAGGAAACUUUCAAAUACCAUGUGUCAUGAAUGAAACAGAGGCUUUUCUCUCAAAAGCAGUUUAAUGUCUUCAUUUGCAUACAUUUGCCCUCUCAGCGUUGGACUGAGUGUAAUGUUAAUGUGUGUAGAGCCCAGACCAUAUAUACUGAUUUGACAACUGGGAAAAUUGUCAAGUACAUGACCAUUACCAUGUAUUCAAGAAUUCUUGUGGAUAGAUGCAAACAUAACAGCCACACAGAUUAGUCGAAUACUUCAUGAAACCCUUAAGAGGCUACAGUAACCAUCCCCACGUAUGACUUAAAUAUUUGAGAUAUGCAAGGCAGCUGAGAAUGGACACACAUGCAAAGAAGUCAGUGGUUCAGUGCGGGCACAGAAUGGCGAGUUGAGUAGGAAAGGCUGGUUUGAGAAUGUGCACAAAAGAAGUCUAUUGAUUCCAUCCAGACUUUGAAAUCAACAGCAGUUGAAAAUUAACAUGUGAGAAAAUCUAUUGGGCAAAGUCCUACUCAUACAGUGAAUCAAAUACCAGAAUGCAGUGAGCUUUGGAUCAGCCACUGACACUGAAUUGUAGCUACAGGUUAGGUAUGAGCGAUGGGUCAAAGUCUCCAGGUCAUGUGGUGCUUACCAACUUUCUUUUGUAAAUAGACAGGGAUACACCUUUUUCCUAGCACAGAGACACGCAACGGCAUAUCUGUAGGCACCCAUAUUAACAUAGGAAAUCACAAACAUCAGGUGUAUACCCAGAAAACAGCCCCCAAUCCCAUCUUGGUACAAGUAACUCACCUUGCUCCUCCUGAGAAGGGCAAGAAAGCGUGGCUGUGUCGGGCAGAACCCGGUGCAAACCGUGAAGGGUCAAACUCCUGCAGAGGGAGCACCAGGACUAGGACAGGUGUGGUCAAGCCCCUCCUUCCUAUCAACCAGCCACCAGAUGGACCACCCAGAGGUGGGACAGGAGGAUGCAUUGGUCUGGAGAGCUCAUCCCAGCCCCUCCUCCCAAGGCCAUCAUACCUCUGGGUUUGGCCACACAUUCGGGUUGUGGUGAAGGGCAUAAAUGGAGAGGGACACCUGGAAUCCUGUGGGAGACAAGAGAGAAGACGGAUCAUAUCCAAGCCACGAGGAGUCAUGUGCAUGCACAAACAGCCUGGAAGCCACAGUGAAAGCCACUGCUCAUCAUUGUGAGUGGAAUGACUGUGUUGCAAGAGAGAUGGGGUGGACAAGGAAAGCACCCGUACACUCAUUACGAGAGAACCAUGCCUGGGCUGAGAGGUAGGAAAGAACAGGAGGCUUACUUUUUGGAACAACUCAAGUGACAGAAAACUCACAUUUAUCAAGUAGCACCCAUAGGCCCUUGGGUAAUAUGCAUGAACUCAUUCAAUCCUCACAACAACCCUCCAGUGAAGGCACUCAUGUCCCCAUUGUCCAUAUCAGGCACCUAGAGCCUCAGAGAGGCUAAGCUACUUGCCUAUAUCCACACAGCUAGGAUGUGGCAGGCCUGGAGUUCAGAUCAGAGGUGAGCCACCGGUGGCCUCCAACCGUGACUGGGUUCUCAGAUCUGGUCAUCAGGUGCUCUCUGCCACCAAUCUGAGGGCUCCCCACAGACUGGACUGUCAAAAUAAUGACGGUGGAUUCCCUGAAGUGCUUCAAUGACUCGACCUCACAGGGAAGGAAAAACAGCUCUGUCUGGCCCAGAGGGAUUUUCUCUCCAGCCAUCAAAUCUCUGGAUAUUAGAAGUUUAUGCUAAUUUUGAAGCCCCCUCCUGAAGCCAACACCUCCUUGUAGAGAAUGCAAUGCAUUGAGUCAUUAUUAUUUUAACUGGCCUGUAUAUAGUAUUUUGCCUUUGUUACAAAGGAGUUAUCUAAACAUUGUGUAAAAUCCUGAGGAUAUUCAAAGAGAUUUGUCUGGGAACAGAAUUGUUCCACGAGUUCUGACUUGGAGUGUGUAGUUUUAAAUCAGAGAAUGUCAGUGCCUUCAAUGGGAGUGCUGUAGCAUCACAAACCAAUGGAAUCUCGCGGUAAUAGAAUGUUUUUCCUCGGUAAGAGUAGAAACUUAGGAUUGUAUGCAUUUGAGAUCUUAGAAUUGAGAUGCACCUUACAGGUUAUUUGAGAGAAUCAACAAAAAUAGAAAAUAUUCUCCACAGAUAGGAAGAGGAACUAACCUUUACGACACUUUGGCAGUUCUCUGGCUCUGUGUCAGGCAUUUUCUCUCCUCAUCCAAACCAGAGAAUCCCAUGAUCACAGAUGUGUUUAAUUUCUUCUUCCACUGGAUUGAGGAGUGGGCACCUGCCUUCCCUGCCUUUCUCCUCCAAGACCUUUGGUGCUGGGUGACCAUGGUUCUUCCCUAUGCAUCCUUCGUGUCCUGUCACCACUCACUCAGGCAUCCCACCAACUGGACAACCUGGCCCUCUAGUGCCCUUUCUUACUUAAGCUGCUCCUUAGGAAGACAGAAGAGAAUAUAAGCAAGCUACUGUCUGUCCAAAAAAUGGGCUCAGACACAUUA